rnacentral:rRNA from 1 species
CUGGAGGUAUCAGAAGUGCGAAUGCUGACAUAAGUAACGAUAAAGCGGGUGAAAAGCCCGCUCGCCGGAAGACCAAGGGUUCCUGUCCAACGUUAAUCGGGGCAGGGUGAGUCGACCCCUAAGGCGAGGCCGAAAGGCGUAGUCGAUGGGAAACGGGUUAAUAUUCCCGUACUUGGUGUUACUGCGAAGGGGGGACGGAGAAGGCUAUGUUGGCCGGGCGACGGUUGUCCCGGUUUAAGCGUGUAGGUGUGUGUUCCAGGUAAAUCCGGUUCACUUUAACACUGAGGCGUGACGACGAGGCACUACGGUGCUGAAGCAACAAAUGCCCUGCUUCCAGGAAAAGCCUCUAAGCAUCA